rnacentral:misc_RNA from 1 species
UAGAAGGAAGAACAGGAAUGGGAAGAACAGGCACAAAAUGGAGGCGGCGCUGUCUGCAGCAGUUUUACCAUCCGUGAUAUCAAAAGAUACAACUACUUUAGACACUUUGGUUGAAAGUGUUAAGGCAAAGAGUUCUGAGUCUAAGAUUUCUGAAUCUAUUUUGGAUCCUAGCGCAGUCCGUUCCCCAACUGAUGCAAAUGAUGCAAAUCAAUCUUCAGAGCUGCGCUCAUCAUUAACAAAUGAAGAAACCCACAUCAGAGUGAAUAAUCAGUGGAGAUCUCAGCAUCCUCGCAGGAUGCCGAGAAAUCCACAAAGUAAUAAAUCAGCUGAGAAAAACCACAGUGGUGAUGCUGUUGUAUGGGCUCCUGUGC